AGCAACUAGAAGAGGACAACAUGCAAUUUGAUGAGGCGAUGAUGGUUAAAUGAGCUUCGUCUUUCACUAUCACAGUAGCUAAAGGAGUAGAAUUUGCAAACUGGACAGAGAUCAGGUGUACAAACAUAGGUAAUGUAACACGCGAAAAUGCAAUGCUGAAGAAGCUUCAUGACAGAGCAAAUUUAAAGGAGACAACACUAGUGGUGAUACCAUUGGUGAAUCAGUUGUACAAAUGAUGGAGAUCCAAUCUCUGAUGAAGGAAAGGCGAAGAAGGGAGAGGAGCAGAAACUAUCAAAUAUUUGUAAGGGAAGGCAUUAGGGGUGGGGAUGGGGGAAGAGAGGAGCAGAAAGUAUCAAAUAAUUGCAAGGGAGGGCGUUACAGAGGUUG
rnacentral:misc_RNA from 1 species